rnacentral:tRNA from 1 species
GGGGGUGUAGCUCAGUUGGGAGAGCGCCUGCUUUGCACGCAGGAGGUCGGGGGUUCGAAUCCCUUCACCUCCA